UACGUAGGGGGCGAGCGUUGUCCGGAGUUACUGGGCGUAAAGCGCACGCAGGCGGUCUGCUAAGUUUGGAGUGACAGUUGGUGGCUUAACUGCCAAAGUGCUUCGAAAACUGACAGACUUGAGGGCUUCAGAGGGACACGGAAUUCCGGGUGGAGUGGUGAAAUGCGUAGAGAUCCGGAGGAACACCAAAGGCGAAGGCAGUGUCCUGGGGAGUACCUGACGCUCGAGGUGCGAAAGCCAGGG
rnacentral:rRNA from 1 species